GACAGAGGGGGCAAGCGUUGCUCGGAAUUAUUGGGCGUAAAGAGCUCGUAGGCGGUUUGUCGCGUCGGCUGUGAAAACUCGGGGCUCAACCCCGAGCCUGCAGUCGAUACGGGCAGGCUCGAGUUCGGUAGGGGAGACUGGAAUUCCUGGUGUAGCGGUGAAAUGCGCAGAUAUCAGGAGGAACACCGAUGGCGAAGGCAGUGUUCUGGGCCAGUACUGACGCUGAGGAGCGAAAGCGUGGGGAGCAAACAGG
rnacentral:rRNA from 1 species